GAUGAACGCUGGCGGCGUGCUUAACACAUGCAAGUCGAACGAGAAAUGUAGACGGAAACCUUCGGGCGGAAGCCUUCAUUUCGAGUGGCGGACGGGUGAGUAACGCGUGGGUAACCUGCCUCAUACAGGGGGAUAACAGUUGGAAACGACUGUUAAUACCGCAUAAGACCACAGCAUCGCAUGAUGCGGGGGUAAAAACUCCGGUGGUAUGAGAUGGACCCGCGUUCGAUUAGCCAGUUGGCGGGGUAACGGCCCACCAAAGCGACGAUCGAUAGCCGAUCUGAGAGGAUGACCGGCCACAGUGGGACUGAGACACGGCCCAAACUCCUACGGGAGGCAGCAGUGGGGAAUAUUGCCCAAUGGGGGAAACCCUGAUGCAGCGACGCCGCGUGAGUGAAGAAGUACUUCGGUAUGUAAAGCUCUAUCAGCAGGGAAGAAAAUGACGGUACCUGAGUAAGAAGCCCCGGCUAACUACGUG
rnacentral:rRNA from 1 species